UGCUGCUGUGCUGCUCUUCUGGACAGGUUGGAUCUCUGGUGUGAACUCGAGUGGAAGGGCUUCUGAUCUGUGAGUGAGUCCAUGUGGGAGCUGGCCACCCUGAGGCAUCUGUGGCCCUGGACAAGACCAUGCCAGAGCAGUUACAUCUUGCAGCAUCUGUAGCUGUGGUUAUGUCUGUGCCACAGCAGCUGGACCUCUGAAGGGAUUGUGGCCCAAAGGAUUAUGUUUUUUAUCUUCCUAAUGAAUUUUCUGCUGGAGUAAACCUGGAAGAAGUUAUAAAUUCAAGGACAUCAGCCCAAUUCCAACCUUUGCUGUUCAGUGUUACUUCAGAUGUAUGAAAUUAAAUGGAGGAUGGUUGCUGGAGGGACCUCCUGAGAAGUCUGGAGUGAACUUAGGCAUUUGAAAUGUUUGGGGAUAUUCUGAAAAACUCCUGCUGCUGGGCCAGUCCUUUUCCUGCAAUGAGUAAGCAGACACUUCUGACUGCAUUUAUUUAGUAUAUGCUGAGCUAGGUCAACAAACGGCCUGCUUGAAAAUCCCAGGCAAAGAGUUUCCAGCAGACACUGGCAACUGCCCUCCUCAACUGGGGUCCAAUUUCCAACAGGAGCAAAGCCAAGCUCAACAACGAAGUUAAAAGCCAAACCAUUAAUAAACCGACUUCCUUACAUUGUAAAUACAUCGGAAAAGGGCAGCAGUUCAAAAGAGAAAAUGAGCAAAACUCUGAUUUUUUUUUCCCUUGAAACUGAAUCCCAGGGGGUGAUUGUCCAUUGAGAUGCCCCCAGGAGAGUUGUGCUGCGCCAAGAAGCAGGAGAAUUUGGGUAGGACGCGGCCAAGAGGCCUCCAAAUUGUUGCACAACAGGAAUUUGGGUACGGCGUAACAAUCGGCUGAGGAAAGGGAAAACAGUUCUCGAAAACCUUACUCCUCAGCUAAACCAGAUUCUCAGGCCAUCUUGAAGCUUAAUUUUGAUUCUUCAGCUGGGUUGGGUGGGGGUGGUUUUUCAGUGAUGUGUAUGUGGUAAUACACGCUGGCUGCGGUUCAAGUCAUCAUAAGAAAGUAGCUACAGGCAAAAAAAAAAAUAAGGUCAUAAUGCUCCAAUUUAUAGUCUUGUAGUUUGGAUGCACUGAGAGCUCUGUUAAAGUUCUCCCUCUUUGGAGCUCUAAAGGCACUGUAGAAUGAUGAGAGGUUUUGAUCUGGCAAGUGCAAGCUCAGGGCAAAUCCACCUUAAUCUUGGAAGUAACAAAAAGGGAGAGAGAAUAAAACCUUUCAGCCUUUAAAACAAAAGUCAAGAAGAACAAACCUCAGUGGCCUUCAGAAUGGAAAGCAGAUGAAGUUGUUCAUCAGGGAGGACUGAAAGCAAUGGAGAUGAACUUGUUUGUGUAUUAUUUAAAUAACUGUUAGCUGCUUUCCAGUCCAACGUACACUCAGGAACAGUACACUCAAAUCUUUAGGAUUUUGAAGCUGGGUGUCUGUGCAGAGUUUUCAGCUCCCCCCCUCCCCUCCCAAAAAAAAUCUUGCUAAAAGAAUCUUACCUGUAUUAUGCUUUCUGUGGACACUGCUGUAAACGCCCACUCUUCCUUCCAUUGGCUUUAUUACUGAGAACCUCCUGUUCUGCCUCUGCUCCUGCUUUAAUUGAAGCUUUGCUAGCAGAUAGCCAUCAGAAAAGACAUCUGCAAUUCAAUUAGAUCUGUGCUUAAACUCAAGAUCUCUGUGAAACCAGCCGAUGCCAGAACAGAGUGCCCUCCAUGGGCUCACUGGGGCUGCAGCCUUAGGUGCUUUGCACUUCGUCCCCCUCCUGCCCUGCUGGCUCCACUUACAGGUGUUUGAAAUGAGGAACCAUUCCUCAGAGGAGGCUUGUAGGAGCUCAUUUCCUCUUCCCUCCAAAGCAGGAGAGAAGCUGGAAACUUGGCACCACUGAGAAGCCAUGGAAUCUGCCUUAUAAUCUACUGGAAGUGAUUGCUGCAGAGCAGAAUCUUUCUCCCAUGGGAGGUAGGAUAUUAAGGAGUUCCAAAGGUGCUCCAGGGGUAACUUACUGCAUCUUUGGCAUAGACACGAAAGUAUGAUGAAUUUAUAGGAAUGCCCAUACUAGAAGAAGUUGCGCUUUUUCACUGACUUAAUUCAGUCUCUGGUGCUGUAAGUGGUAUGUUCCCUGGUGCCAGCUGCUCCAGGGCCAUCAUUCCUGCUUGCAGUGACCCUUCGAGGCGACUGAGGUGAGGACUGAGGCAGGCCACACCACUGAACCCCUGCAAGGAGCAGCUCUUCAGAAAUAUUUCCAUGUCCCUAGAGGUAAACGUUGGUCUCUAAGUGAUCCUGACACGAACCACAACCUUGUUUAUAAAUGCUCCAGAAGGAUGUUACAAAGUGCUUCAGUGGUCUUGCUUAAAGCAUUUGUAAGAACUGCAAAAUAAAGACUUGCAAAAUCACGA